UACAGAGACUGCAAGCGUUAUUCGGAUUCACUGGGCGUAAAGGGUGCGCAGGCGGCCAAGUGUGUUAGGCGUGAAAGCCUGAGGCUUAACCUCAGAAUUGCACCUAAAACUACAUAGCUAGAGCAUUGGAGAGGGUAGCGGAAUUCACGGUGUAGCAGUGAAAUGCGUAGAUAUCGUGAGGAACACCAGAGGCGAAGGCGGCUACCUGGACAAUUGCUGACGCUCAGGCACGAAAGCGUGGGGAGCAAAAGGG
rnacentral:rRNA from 1 species